UACAGAGGGGGCAAGCGUUGUUCGGAAUUACUGGGCGUAAAGGGCUUGUAGGUGGCCAACUAAGUCCGACGUGAAAUCCCUAGGCUUAACCUAGGAACUGCGUCGGAUACUGGAUGGCUUGAAUCCGGGAGAGGGAUGCGGAAUUCCAGGUGUAGCGGUGAAAUGCGUAGAUAUCUGGAGGAACACCGGUGGCGAAGGCGGCAUCCUGGACCGGUAUUGACGCUGAGGCGCGAAAGCCAGGGGAGCAAACGGG
rnacentral:rRNA from 1 species